AUUGAACGCUGGCGGCAGGCCUAACACAUGCAAGUCGAACGGUAACAGGAAGCAGCUUGCUGCUUCGCUGACGAGUGGCGGACGGGUGAGUAAUGUCUGGGAAACUGCCUGAUGGAGGGGGAUAACUACUGGAAACGGUAGCUAAUACCGCAUAACGUCGCAAGACCAAAGAGGGGGACCUUAGGGCCUCUUGCCAUCGGAUGUGCCCAGAUGGGAUUAGCUAGUAGGUGGGGUAACGGCUCACCUAGGCGACGAUCCCUAGCUGGUCUGAGAGGAUGACCAGCCACACUGGAACUGAGACACGGUCCAGACUCCUACGGGAGGCAGCAGUGGGGAAUAUUGCACAAUGGGCGCAAGCCUGAUGCAGCCAUGCCGCGUGUAUGAAGAAGGCCUUCGGGUUGUAAAGUACUUUCAGCGGGGAGGAAGGGAGUAAAGUUAAUACCUUUGCUCAUUGACGUUACCCGCAGAAGAAGCACCGGCUAACUCCAUG
rnacentral:rRNA from 1 species